rnacentral:rRNA from 1 species
GCAGUAGCCGCGGGAAAACAGAGGGUGCGAGCGUUAAUCGGAUUUACUGGGCGUAAAGCGUGCGUAGGCGGCUUUUUAAGUCGGAUGUGAAAUCCCUGAGCUUAACUUAGGAAUUGCAUUCGAUACUGGGAAGCUAGAGUAUGGGAGAGGAUGGUAGAAUUCCAGGUGUAGCGGUGAAAUGCGUAGAGAUCUGGAGGAAUACCGAUGGCGAAGGCAGCCAUCUGGCCUAAUACUGACGCUGAGGUACGAAAGCAUGGGGAGCAAACAGGAUUAGAUACCCCCGUAGUCCCUGUCUCUUAUAC